rnacentral:rRNA from 1 species
UGUGUGACUGCGUACCUUUUGUAUAAUGGGUCAGCGACUUAUAUUCUGUAGCAAGGUUAACCGUAUAGGGGAGCCGUAGGGAAACCGAGUCUUAACCGGGCGUUAAGUUGCAGGGUAUAGACCCGAAACCCGGUGAUCUAGCCAUGGGCAGGUUGAAGGUUGGGUAACACUAACUGGAGGACCGAACCGACUAAUGUUGAAAAAUUAGCGGAUGACCUGUGGCUGGGGGUGAAAGGCCAAUCAAACCGGGAGAUAGCUGGUUCUCCCCGAAAGCUAUUUAGGUAGCGCCUCGUGAAUUCAUCUCCGGGGGUAGAGCACUGUUUCGGCUAGGGGGCCAUCCCGGCUUACCAACCCGAUGCAAACUGCGAAUACCGGAGAAUGUUAUCACGGGAGACACACGGCGGGUGCUAACGUCCGUCGUGAAGAGGGAAACAACCCAGACCGCCAGCUAAGGUCCCAAAGUCAUGGUUAAGUGGGAAACGAUGUGGGAAGGCCCAGACAGCCAGGAUGUUGGCUUAGAAGCAGCCAUCAUUUAAAGAAAGCGUAAUAGCUCACUGGUCGAGUCGGCCUGCGCGGAAGAUGUAACGGGGCUAAACCAUGCACCGAAGCUGCGGCAGCGAACGUAUCACCCAAGACAACUUUACGGAGUUGACGAUUGACGGAGCGAAGCGACGUCAAAGCGUUCAUUAAAGUCGAGUUGGCUUAGGGAUACGUUCGUUGGGUAGGGGAGCGUUCUGUAAGCCUGUGAAGGUGUGUCGUGAGGCAUGCUGGAGGUAUCAGAAGUGCGAAUGCUGACAUAAGUAACGAUAAAGCGGGUGAAAAGCCCGCUCGCCGGAAGACCAAGGGUUCCUGUCCAACGUUAAUCGGGGCAGGGUGAGUCGACCCCUAAGGCGAGGCCGAAAGGCGUAGUCGAUGGGAAACGGGUUAAUAUUCCCGUACUUGGUGUUACUGCGAAGGGGGGACGGAGAAGGCUAUGUUGGCCGGGCGACGGUUGUCCCGGUUUAAGCGUGUAGGUGUGUGUUCCAGGUAAAUCCGGUUCACUUUAACACUGAGGCGUGACGACGAGGCACUACGGUGCUGAAGCAACAAAUGCCCUGCUUCCAGGAAAAGCCUCUAAGCAUCAGGUAACACGAAAUCGUACCCCAAACCGACACAGGUGGUCAGGUAGAGAAUACCAAGGCGCUUGAGAGAACUCGGGUGAAGGAACUAGGCAAAAUGGUGCCGUAACUUCGGGAGAAGGCACGCUGACACGUAGGUGAAGUGAUUUACUCAUGGAGCUGAAGUCAGUCGAAGAUACCAGCUGGCUGCAACUGUUUAUUAAAAACACAGCACUGUGCAAACACGAAAGUGGACGUAUACGGUGUGACGCCUGCCCGGUGCCGGAA